rnacentral:sRNA from 1 species
CGGCACUUGCCAUUGGGUCAUAAUGGGAACUAAUCUCAUCACCUUCUUGGAAACCUGUCUCCAGCCGGUGUGGUGUAAUAAUUGGCGAACGCACAUGGAACAGCUUGCCGGUAUCUGGCAAAAAAUUGCUACCACCUAUUCGUAGAUUCGCGCUUCAAAUGCAUGACCGAUGCAGGGGAUCUUGUCUUGGGUGUAUGGAAGUGGAUUCCCAGCCGCAAUCUGUCUUUCACAUUCAUACCCGUUAUCAUUUCUGUGACAGGGUGUCUAAAGUCUAUUAGCUUGAAUAUCAACGUGCGUCGUGGCUGCACAGCUCACUCUACCUGUAAACGGGUAUUCCUGAAUGAUAUCAGCAAACAGGCUUGUAGUAGCAGUGGCUCUUCCCCACAGGGAAAAGCAUACACAGACACUUACAUCUCCAUGAAGAAGUGCUCGCCCGUCUCAGCAUCCAUGAUAAAUUCCACUGUCCCAGCCCCAACGCUGCACUAGUCAGUGAAGUAGGAAAAAACUAACUUACUAAUUGAUUGCUUUGGCUGCUGCUACCGCCUUUUCUGCGAAGUCUUGUUUCAACGCAGGUGACAAUCCUGGAGCUGGUGCUUCUUCAAUGAUUUCUAGUCGUUCGAUCCCUCUCCCAAAGCGCGACGCAAUUUCCAUAUUGAUCGCCGAAAACUUGUACUUCGACGUGUCUUGGUUUCUCCAACCACCUUUCUAGCAAGACUUCAUCAUUUCCAAAACUCUUCAAUGCUUCGGGUUGGGCAGAGAGAAGCUCAUCUUGAAGUGUCAAAGGAUCACGAACAAUGCGCAUCCCUUUACCUCCUCCGCCGUGGGUUGGUUUGAUAAUAAGGGGAUAACCUGUCUGCUGAGAGCCUUUGAGCAAUGCAUCCAUUCAACACAUAACGAGGCACAUACGGUACACAUGGCACACCAGCCGCUGUGCUUAGUGUCCGAUAAAAACGAGACCCGCAUCUCUUACUUUCUCUGCAAAGUCUGAAGAUUCUGAAAGAAAACCGUAUCCUGGGUGUAUUGCCUAUUUGGCGAGUGUUAGAGGACCAUUUAGAAGGAGCCGAAGAGACAUACUUCUGCCCCGCUCACAUAGCUCUCCGAACUUGGGGAGGGCCCGAUGAGGUAGGCCUCGUCAGCCUGACCUUUUUCAUUAGCAACCACAAAAUCGCAGAGAGCAGGAAAUGAGAUACCAUAGCAACGUGUUGACAGUUUCGAUCAGCUUCACUGUAUACUGAAACUGUGACAAUACCCAAUCGUCGAGCGGUGCGAAUGAUCGC